rnacentral:rRNA from 1 species
GAUGAACGCUGGCGGCGUGCUUAACACAUGCAAGUCGAACGGAAAGGCUCCUGCUUGCCGGGGUACUCGAGUGGCGAACGGGUGAGUAACACGUGGGUGAUCUGCCCUGCACUUCGGGAUAAGCCUGGGAAACUGGGUCUAAUACCGGAUAGGACGAUGGUUUGGAUGCCAUUGUGGAAAGUUUUUCGGUGUGGGAUGAGCUCGCGGCCUAUCAGCUUGUUGGUGGGGUAAUGGCCUACCAAGGCGUCGACGGGUAGCCGGCCUGAGAGGGUGUACGGCCAACAGUGGGACGGAGCGACGGCCAAGACCCGUACGGGGGGCAGGGGUGGGAAUUGUGGCAAAAGGGGCGAAGGCCUGCUGCGGCGACGCGGGGGGGGGGAGGCCGGCCUGCGGGUUGGAACCUCCUUCCGUGAGGGAAGAAGCGAAGGGGGGGGUCCUGGGAAAAGAAACACGGCAAAAUUACGG